GGUCAAGCUACUAAGAGCUUAUGGUGGAUGGCUUGGCAGGAGCAGGCGACGAAGGACGGGGUAAGCUCCGAUAAUCUCCGGGGAGUCGCAAACAGGCUUUGAUCCGGAGGUUUCCGAAUGGGGAAACCCAUACCGAUUCAUCUCGGUAUAUCUCUUAUUGAAUAUAUAGAUAAGAGAAGCUAACCAGGAGAAGUGAACCAUCUCAGUACCCUGAGGAAAAGAAACCGCAGGGGAUUCCCCUAGUAGCGGCGAGCGAAAAGGGAACAGCCUAAACCUGCUAUUGUUUCAAUAGCGGGGGUUGCGGGGUUUAUCCGGAAGAGACCAAAAGUUUCUUCGGGAGGUCAGAAAUUUAGUCUUUAGUUGAAUACUUUGGAAAAGGUAGCCAAAGAAGGUGAGAGCCCUGUAGACGAAAAAGACUAAACCUCCUGGGAUAAAUUCCCAAGUACUACGGGACACGAGAAACCCCGUAGGAAGCUGGCCUGACCACAGGCCAAGGCUAAAUACUUGCUUCUGACCGAUAGUGCAAUAGUACCGUGAGGGAAAGCUGAAAAGUACCCCGGCGAGGGGAGUGAAAUAGUACCUGAAACCAUAAGUUUACAAGCGGUCGGAGUCCCGCUUUUGGCGGGAUGACGGCGUACCUUUUGCAUAAUGAGCCGGGGAGUUACUCCUGUACAGCGAGCUUAACCCCGAAUCCUCGGGGGUAGGCGUAGGGAAACCGAGUCCUAACUGGGCGAUGAGUUGUGCGGGGUAGACUCGAAGCUGGGGUGAUCUACCCAUGGCCAGGAUGAA
rnacentral:rRNA from 1 species